rnacentral:rRNA from 1 species
UACAUGAGUGGCGAGCGUUAUUCGUCUUAAUUGAGCGUAAGAAACAUUUAGAUUUUAAAUUUAUAAUAUAUAUACUUAAUAUUUUAAAGUUAUAAUGUAUAUAUAAAUAAUUUUAUUAAAUAAUAUUUAAGUUAGUAGUCAAUAUAAUAUAGUGAUAAAAUACUUCAACAUUAUAUAUAUUUCUAAACUGAAAAGAACUAACUAUAAUUUAUUAAAGUUUAAAUGUGAGAGUAUAGAUAACCAAUAGG